rnacentral:antisense_RNA from 16 species
GCUUUCUCCCAGGUUUGGACUGGGGGUUAGCCGACGCCCUGUGAGUUACCGCUCACGGGGCGUUCAACAUUUUUCAGGU